rnacentral:rRNA from 1 species
AGAGUUUGAUCCUGGCUCAGGACGAACGUUGGCGGCGCGCUUAACACAUGCAAGUCGAACGGAGAAUAUCUUAACAGAGACUUCGGUUGAAGUUGCUAUAUUCUUAGUGGCGGACGGGUGAGUAACGCGUGGGUAACCUGCCUCAUACCGGGGGAUAACAGCCAGAAAUGGCUGCUAAUACCGCAUAAGCGCACGGGAGCGCAUGCUCCAGUGUGAAAAACUCCGGUGGUAUGGGAUGGACCCGCGUUGGAUUAGCUGGUUGGCAGGGUAAUGGCCUACCAAGGCAACGAUCCAUAGCCGGCCUGAGAGGGUGAACGGCCACAUUGGGACUGAGACACGGCCCAGACUCCUACGGGAGGCAGCAGUGGGGAAUAUUGCACAAUGGGGGAAACCCUGAUGCAGCGACGCCGCGUGAAGGAAGAAGUAUCUCGGUAUGUAAACUUCUAUCAGCAGGGAAGAAAAUGACGGUACCUGACUAAGAAGCCCCGGCUAACUACGUGCCAGCAGCCGCGGUAAUACGUAGGGGGCAAGCGUUAUCCGGAUUUACUGGGUGUAAAGGGAGCGUAGACGGAAGAGCAAGUCUGAUGUGAAAGGCAGGGGCCCAACCCCUGGACUGCAUUGGAAACUGUCCUUCUUGAGUGCCGGAGGGGGUAAGCGGAAUUUCCUAGUGUAGGCGGUGAAAUGGCGUAGAUAUUAGGAGGAACAACCAGUGGCGAAGGCCGGCUUACUGGACGGAACUGAACUUGAAGCUCGAAAGCGUGGGGAGCAAACAGGAUUAGAAACCCUGGUAGUCCACGCGGUAAACGAUGAAUACUAAGUGUCGGGGAGCAAAGCUCUUCG